rnacentral:rRNA from 1 species
GAUGAACGCUGGCGGCGUGCCUAAUACAUGCAAGUCGAGCGAACGGACGAGAAGCUUGCUUCUCUGAUGUUAGCGGCGGACGGGUGAGUAACACGUGGAUAACCUACCUAUAAGACUGGGAUAACUUCGGGAAACCGUAGCUAAUACCGGAUAAUAUUUUGAACCGCAUGGUUCAAAAGUGAAAGACGGUCUUGCUGUCACUUAUAGAUGGAUCCGCGCUGCAUUAGCUAGUUGGUAAGGUAACGGCUUACCAAGGCAACGAUGCAUAGCCGACCUGAGAGGGUGAUCGGCCACACUGGAAGUGAGACACGGUCCAGACUCCUACGGGAGGCAGCAGUAGGGAAUCUUCCGCAAUGGGCGAAAGCCUGACGGAGCAACGCCGCGUGAGUGAUGAAGGUCUUCGGAGCGUAAAACUCUGUUAUUAGGGAAGAACAUAUGUGUAAGUAACUGUGCACAUCUUGACGGUACCUAAUCAGAAAGCCACGGCUAACUACGUG